GGGCCCGCACAAGCAGUGGAGUAUGUGGUUUAAUUCGAUGCAACGCGCAGAACCUUACCCGGCCUUGACAUCCUUAGAAUCCCUUAGAAAUAUGGGAGUGCCUUCGCAAGAAGGAGCUAGGUGACAGGUGCUGCAUGGCUGUCGUCAGCUCGUGUCGUGAGAUGUUCGGUUAAGUCCGGCAACGAGCGCAACCCCUAUUAUUAGUUGCCAGCGGUUCGGCCGGGGACUCUAGGAGAACUGCCUACGCAAGUAGAGAGGAAGGUGGGGAUGACGUCAAAUCAGCACGGCCCUUACGUCCAGGGCUACACACGUGCUACAAUGGCCGGUACAGAGGGCAGCUACCGGGUGACCGGAUGCGAAUCUCUAAAGCCGAUCUCAGUUCGGAUUGGAGUCUGCAACUCGACUCUAUG
rnacentral:rRNA from 1 species